CAAGCUCAAACGAGUGCUGCCUGUCCACACCCACAGCCCUCUACUGCCUUAUCCACCAGCCCCCCAACUGUGCUGCGGGUUCCUGUCUUGGUCACUGCUGGGUCUGCAGUGCCGCAAAGAGUUCUUGGCACGUAGUAGGUGCUCCAUCAGUGUGUUUGAGCGAAUGUGGCAAAAUGGAGGCACCCACUAUGGGGACUUGCUAGGGGGAGGCAGAAAGGGGCUCAGGCCCAUCUCUGGCUCUUCAGUCACACAGAAGGGACCCCUUUUAUGUUGAAAUAGAGGAACCGGAAACCCCUAGAUUCAGGAGGCCCCGUGUGAGCCGGGAGCGGGCGAUGCGGGGGGCGUGAGGGGCAAGGUCCCACCUUCACCGUCUGCAGGAGGGGAGAGCGUGGACGAGCAAGAUGGUCAGGACCACACCCACCCUGAUGAACGAACGGUGCGAAGGAAAGACAGACGUCAGGCUGGAGCAACAGCGUCGGGGGGGGGGCGGCCACUGCGGGCAAGGUGGUCAGGGAAGGCCGCCUGAGAGAGGUGACCUUGGGCCGACGGCAGAACGAGGAGGACGAGUUCACCAGUGGAGACGGGAGGGAGGGUGCUCCAGGCGGAGGGCACACUGAGGCAAAGGCCCAGAGGCGGGGCUGAGCUCGGCGCACCCAGGGUGCUGGGUCAGCUGGGGCGCUGCAUGUGGGAGGGGGAGGACGCAGGGCCACACCGCACGCAGGGUCCCGGCCGCGGGGCUCAGGGAGUGGUGAGCACGACAGGUGCAGUCCAGGGAGGGGGCGGAGAGGGACCAGGAGUCCCAGGCGAAGCUUCCUCAUCGGGACCACUCGACUGACUCAUGGGGUCAGGCCCUCUGGGCGACACCAUCACGGGUUCCCGGGCGGCCUGAGAGCUGAGAGUCACGAGCGUUUGUUCCCCAAACCGUCUACGCCGCGUGUGCUCGGUGUCAUUGAACUCAGCCACCAAAACAGAAGUGUGGAAACAGACAUCCUGCCAUAAAAGCUACACGGAAGGUUCGAGAAGGUUCGAGAAGUCUCGAUGAAGGCAUAUCGCUUAAAACAAAACAAAGAAAGUCUGCCGUCCAAUGAGGGAUCAGCAAGCUCGCCACCAAAGACCGGGAGGAAAAAUCAGAAAAGCUCAGAUUACUUUGAAAUAGCUUUGAUCUCUUGUUCCAUUUAAAAAGAAAAAAUAAAAAGAGGAAAUUUCAGACAAUGAUAUCUGGGGGUGGCUUGGGCGAGAAAGCCAGCGUGAGAGCUCUAAUCAGGGGACAUAGCCUCCAGGAAAAUGUCUUGGUUCCCUGUUAAAAGAUUAAUGGGUGAGCGUGUGGGACCCCAAACCCAGUCUCGCUUCUGACAGUAACAGAAUUCUCAGCCGGAAAAUGGCUGCCUCCAUGGAGGACUACACUUCCCAGCUUCCUUUGCAGCAGGAUGUGGUCACAUGGUUCAGUCCUGACCAAUGGGAUGUGAGCAGACGGAUGCGCUCCAUCACGGAUGGAAUAACCUUAAUGGUCCUCGCCCCGCCCCUUUCCAUUGGCUGGGAUGCGACCAUGGCACCGAGAUGGCAUCAUCCCCGGGCCGGCAGAGUGGGCUUGACCAUCCUGGAUAAGACAGCCGUGGUGGAAAAUGCUGGUCGUCCACCUGCCACAUCCUCCUCUUCCCUUCCUUCUGCCAGCACGGGCCAGCUAGAGGAUGCGGCUCCCAGCCUGCCUUGCAGCUAGAUGCGGCCACUUGACCGAGUCCAACCAACGGGACACGAAGAGGAAUGACACUGCACAGGAGGUGGGCCACACCUGAAUCGGAGCCGCAAGGCACUGGCAGGUGUUCCUCCACGCCCCCGAGCUGGAACCCGAGCGUGCCCUGAGCCAGCUGUGACCACAGAGCGGGAACCGACGCUCCAGGAGAGGGCAGAGCAAGGAGAUGGAAGGAGCCUGGGCCUGUGAAUGACUGCAUGGAGCCGAGGUGCCCAAAGUCUGGGGCUGCCAGGACUGCUACGUGACCGAGAAAUAAACCUCUGUGUUCUCAAGUCU